CAUGGCCGAAUAUAGCAAGGAGAAACCAUGGCUAGGGUUUUUCAAGCUUCCAAGCUCGAUUGUAAGUCCGUUCUAGCCUCGUUUUUAAUGAUUUUUACGUUUUUGGAGUCCCGGUAGCUUAAUUAAGCUUAUGCUAGCAAUAAUUCAACCUAGGGUUUAUAUUUGGAAAAAUACCAAUAGGUGAAAUUUGUGUAUUUUGGUGUUUUAUGAUAGAAUAUGAGGUUUUAAAUUAUGUUAGACAACUUGUGCUACUCGGUUUUAAGUGAAAACGAGCAAAAGGGCUUAAUUGGUAAAAAUACCUAAUAGUCAUAAGUACAUGUUAGAGUGAAAAUUUGAUGUUUCCAUAGAAGGGAAAAAUGAUCAGCAUGUCAUAAAACAUAAGAAAAUAGGCUGAAGUUUAAUUUACGAGCUUUGGGGCAAAAGUGUAAAUAUGCAAAAGUUUAGGGGAAAAUUGUAAUUUUUCUAAAAUAUGAUUUUGGGUCAAUUUGAAUAAUGUGAGUCCUAAUUAGACUAUAUUUUAAAUGAUAGAGCAAGGAAAACUGAAAUUCGGGCUAAAAUGGGGAAAAUACCAAGUUGUGGACGAAAUGGUAAAAGUAGCCAUUUUCGCAUACGAGGUAAGUUCAUGUGUAAAUGUAGUAACAUAAUUGUCAUUUUAAGCAAUUUAAUGUUGUUUAUAUGAUAUGAUGCUGAUUAUUAUCAUGAAAUAUUAUGCUUUGUGGUUAUUGUUGAAUAAUAUGUAAUUAUGUGAAUUACUUGAUGAGUAUGAACUAUCACCGAAGUAUCAAUUUCGAUAUUCCGUGGAAGAUGGAAAAGAUGUGUGAUCGAGGAAAACGCCCGUUUGAACCUUAGGAAUAGAUUAGGAUACAAGUGACAUGUCACUAGGAUAAUUGGGCAUCCGAACUCGUUGAGUUGAGUCCGAGUUCACUUAUGGAUGCAAAUGUCCGAACUCGUUGAGUUGAGUCCGAGUUCGUGAGAUGUAACUAGGCAUCCGAACUCGUUGAGUUGAGUCCGAGUUCACUUAUGGGCGGGUUACAUGGUAGCUUGGCUACAUAUGUGGCACUUAUGUGCAAACUUUCCAUGUAUCCGAAUUAUAUUCCGAUGUGUUCAACGGGUAAAGUUCUACUGAAAUGGAGGAAUACUCAAGAUAAAAGGGACGUAUUGUUAAGUGUUGUGAAAUGGGUACUUUGAACAGGUAUGUACUUAACCCUCGGGUUGAAAAAUCGAUAUAACAACAAUAUGGUAAGAUGAUAAAUGAAAAUGUGAUAUGAAUGUCUUGGUGAUGAUUAUGCAAAUGAUGUUUUAUGUUUGCUUAUAUGGUUAUGUUACUUGCUAUUUGCAUGUGAACUUAUUAAGCAUUUAUGCUUACUCCCUCCUUUUCAUUCCUUGUAGUUUUGACAAGCCAGCUCGGAAAUCGAGAACGGUCGGAGGCUCGCUCACACUAUCCGUAUACCAUCUUGGCAUAAUGGCUUGUAUAUUUUGAGUAUGGCAUGUAUAGCAUUAUAAUCAUUUUGUGUAUAUGGUCUUAUGAUAUGGUUAUUGAGUGGUAUGGAAAUGCUUGGUAAUGAUUAGCCAUUGGAAUGGCUAAUCAUGAUCAUAUUUGCUGUUAUGUAUGCUAAAUUGCUAGCUAAUCCAUGGAAACGAUGAAAUAGGUAAAAUUUACCAUAAAAUAGAUUCAGACAGCAGCAGUGAUGUGAGUUUGAAAAAUCACUAAAAAUAGUAGAGAUACAAUUAGAUGAUGAAUAAUAUAUGGAAUCGAAGCUUGAUGAGUCUAUUUUCAUAUGGAAGAAUCGAAACAGGUAUAUAAGCUAUAUUUUAUGAGAUGUUUAAAUUUUUGUGAAACAAGGUCAGAGC
rnacentral:lncRNA from 1 species